AUUCUACAAAUUUAGCUUAGCUUGGCUUAAAAGUAUAUUUCUACUACCCUGUCAGGAUAAGGUUUGGGAUAGCUGUAUCCCUGAGGGUAAAGCUGUGGUUGCAGGGUCUAGGAAAGGGUUGGCUCUUCGGAAGGACCUGGAAGGCCCAGGAGGAGAGAUGCGGAUGGUGAGGGUGUGAUCAGAGCCAUGGAGGACGCCUCAUUCUUGUCUCACAUGCUGUGCGUCAGAGCCCAGAGCCCGGGAGGGCAUGCUCACCUCUGCAGGGCGGCCCACCCUGGAGCUUGUGAUUCAGUAGGCCUGCGCUCGGCCCAGGAACCUGCCUUUCUGACAGUCCAGGUGAUGAAUGGUGUUUACAGAGAGAAGACAUGACACUGAUGAUGAUGGUUUUGGGAGCUCCUUUCCACACAACUAGAGAGCAUCACUGAAACUGAGCUGGAGGGCAAGGCAAGGAGCCAGCUUCUGUGUGAACCUUCUCAAUGAGGCCAUUCGGUUGCCCCACUGGCUCUUUGUCAGGCACAACUACGCUAAGGGAGUGUGUGUGCACCAAACGCCCUGGGGUCUUGUCAAAGGUAGAUUCUGACUCAGAAGAGUGGGCUGGGGUCAGAGAUGCUGCAUUUGUAACAAGCUUCUGGGUGAGCUGGAGGUGCUGGUCUGGGGGCCAGGUGUUGAGGCGCAAGGCUGCUGGGAGCUGCCUUGGCUGGCAGGCUCCCUCCUCUUGCUCAGCCUGCAUCACAGCAGGCCGUUCUGUUUCCAACCCCAGCUGCCCCUCACUCUGCCAGAUGCAGCAAUGUGAACGCAUUCUGGGGCAGAGCGUCCACAUCUUUGUCACUUCAGCCUGGGGACUGACUCAUUUGUAUGACAUGCUCAGCUCUUUGGAGAGAUGUUGGGCCAGAAAUGGACAUGGCAGCACACACUUUCUGGAAAAUGGGAAGCCAAAUUUUUUUUUCCAAUUAUUAUUUUCCACAGAUUCGGAGACUGCUUAAUUCCCAAUGAAAUACAACUUUUAGAUUGCAAGAUAAAAUAUGAAAAUUAUGUCCAAGCUCAAAACCACGGGAAAAUAGCAGAAAGAGCCUACACCAUGAGCAAAUAGAGAGCUAUGAAGUAUCUCUGCAGCCUGUUUCAAGUUCUGAAUUUACUUAUUAUCAGCUGUGUGUGUUUAUCCCGCCUACAGUAGGACCAGCUGGAGUUUUCAAUUUGCACCAUGGAUGAUGCUGACAGAAGUCUCCCUUGCAGCUGUUGGCUCCAAGGUUCUUCAAUGGCCAGAUGGUCAUCAGAAGCAUAAAAGUGACAGUUCCGAGGAGGAAGUGUCUUUCCCUAUUGCCUGUGGAAUAGAAAUUAAGUGGGUGUCCCAUGGCUCUCUUUCCUGGAGGGCCCUUUAAGGGACUCUGGAAGGCUGAACUCCAAAAGUUCCUUCCAAAGGAAAACAAACUCUGAAGAGGAGCCUUUGCCAGUGCUUCUCUGGGAUCUGGCUUCAGAAUUACUCCCAGUCUGAAAAAGACUGAUGGAGGCCUGGGCACCCCAGCCUGUGGGGAGAAGCGGGAUUUCUGAGUGAUGGACUCAACCCUGACCCCAGAGAAAGGCUCCCUCCCUACAACUGCUCUGUGACUUUGUUGCUCCUGGAGGCCCCUCUCCCCACGUUUAAGACGUUCCCAGCCAGUUCACUCAGAGCCGUCAAACCAUUCCGCAGGGGAGGCCUGUUCUCAGCCACCAAAGUACUGCAUUAGCUAGCCCACAAGCCUGAUGGAGCCAGGCAUUGAUGAAAAGACGCCAUCCACCUGCACCAGCCUCUGCACACUGCUGAAAGAAUUCAGAAAACACCUCUUGAGAGGAAGGGAUACAUCAGGACGGCUGAGUGAGAAGCGAGUGAGAGAGAGGCGGUGGCCCAUGGAUCUAUAAGACACAAAACCUGCUCCAGUCCCAGUGUGGGCCGCCUGGAUGGCCAACCCCAAGCGGGCCAUGGGCAUCCAUGAGUUGCCUUUGGCUUACGCGGAGAUCCACUGAGAUGACAGGUGCAAUACUCUGUUCAAAGUACAAAUGGCAGAAGUUUGUUCACCAUCCAGGGAGCGGCUCCAACCUCCUCCACAAACAUCAAACAGAAACUCCCGUUGAAAAAGCCAGACUUGCCAGAUGGAUGCAAGUGAGCCCGGAGCCCUGCAGAGCGUUGCACCAGUAGGAACAACUGUGUUCGUUGAACAGCUGCUCUGUUCCCAGAAAGGCACCAGUCACUGUGUGUCUAUUUUCUAACUUCCCACAACAACCUUGUAAAUUAGAUUUUGUAUGUCCAGUUUCAGGGGGAGAAAACCAGAGAUUUAAGAAACUUGGCUAAGUUCUAAUAACUGGUAAGUGGCAGAAUCUGGGGUCAGAUGUACUCCACGUUAGUUCUUUCAUCCUAAAGCACGCUGGGGAAUCGUAGUUUCCUGUGUGGCUGUGUGGCCCUGGGAAGUCAUUUAUUCUCUCUGACCUUCAGUUUCCACACCUGGAAAGUGAGGAAUUAACAUGGGCUGCCCACAGCGCGGACGGGGAGGCAGCUGAGGCUUUACCCGACAACCUGUGCGCAGAGACCCAGGGCACCUUCUCUGGCCAUCUUCAGUCCUU
rnacentral:lncRNA from 1 species